rnacentral:lncRNA from 1 species
CUGAAAUGCAGAAAGCCAUCUGAAUACUCAGAGACAAAUGGGAACAGCUGCUGGCAUACCAAAGUGUGGCACUGAAGGAGGCAGUCUGCAGGCGUAGCCGGGGUGGCAAGAACAUGGUCUGCCAAGGAACUUCUUCUGGAUACGUCAUAAAGCAGGAAAAGGAUGCUGUUCUUGAUAUUGUCAGUGGAGAAGUCCAGUCUGGGGCCAAAACCACAAAAGUGAAGCCUUACAAAACCAGAAAACCAAGCAGAAAGAUCUUCAGCUGAUAAUGCCCUCUUUCCUCAGUAUGCAGACAGCAUUUUCCUUGAUAGAUGUAUGCAUUCCUGUGGAAAAGACUCCACCAUUCUGCUGACAUCUGAUGCUUGACAGUAGAGCACAACAGAUUGGAAGAGGAUUUCUGUACAGUCUGUGUUGGUGAGUGGUGAUCAGAUAUUCUCAAGGUCAAACAACCGAAUAACAAAUCAGCAAUACCCAUAUUUUAUUGAGCAGUAGUGAAACCCUACUGUUAGAAAGCUGAGGAACUGAUAUGACAGUUACAGAACUUUUAGUUUAUUCUGCUCUGCACAGAAUGCAUUAAGACUGUAUUUCUAGUCUUGCAAUGGAGAUGAGGAAAGGUAAAGAGGUUGUGUUCAUUUUUCUUUCUGUUCUUGUCUUUGUGUCCUGUUUAAGCAUUUCUCCUGGUUCUGGUUUUGAAGUGAUAGCAGGAUACCAGCACGUUUUGUAUAUUUGCACAGUUGAGGAAUAAGUGUCUCAUUUCUUGAGGCUAAGAUUUCCUGGGGUAAAAGAAGGAGCACGGAGCAUUUUGCAGUACCACUGUUAAACUGCUGCCAUCUGGCCUUUAAGCCACUGACUGCUAUGCCUUGAGCCCCACUGUAGUCCACCCAUCCAGUCCACACUGCCCUGCAAUGAUACCUUCCUGGUGCAGAAGAGUGGAAGGAAAAGUGGAACAAGCACAGGCACUGAUAGAACUGGAGCGGAGGAACAGCUGCUGCGAGGCAGUGUGAGCAGUAAUGGAGGGUGGAGGCAGAGCGGUUUGAUAGGCAGCCUGACAGGCAGUUCAGCCAAAGAGGCUUUUUUGUAGUGGGGUUAGAGGAUGGUGGUUGUAAACACAGAUGUAAAUCAGAAGAGAGAUAGAAGUUAAAGAUCAAAGGAAAGAGCAGGGAACGAGGGAACGUAGGAAGAUAGAUAAGGGAUGGAAAAUCUAAAAAUGCUAAAAUGAUUAGGUAUCAAGGAGUUGGACAGCUUCGAUCUGUGAUAAAUCAACAAGGUUCAAGAUGAACCUUGCAAAAUCAUUAGCUCCAAAACCUUGCAAGAUGAACCUUGCAAGAUGAAAUUGCAAAAUCAUUAGGUCCAAAUUUCUCCUAUGUGAUGCAAAUAUGCAGAGACCUGUGUGUGAGACAUUUUGCUACCAAGCUGCCUCUUAGGAGUGAGUAUCUGAAACUGGAAGGGAUUUAUCUAACAGAAGUUCAGAUGCUGCGGGGCAUAUUAGGUGAAUUAAUAUGCACAACAUUGCAUCUUCUCUUCUAAAUUAAUAAACAUCACGUUCAUUUCUUUUUUACUAAUUGAAUGUUUAACUUGUUUGUCUAAGGCCGGUGAUAGGUCAGUAGGAGGUUAGGAAUAGAUAUUGCUUGUUUUCUCCAGAGCCCUGAACCAUUGCUGGGUUUCAUAUUUCCUCCAGCCUGUCUCAGUGCAAUACUGUUUUGCAGACAGAUGAAAGAGUUUCUUUCAUUACUGAAACAAAAGGCCAAGUAAAGAGUUAGGAAACUGAUAAUUAUAUACUAGCUUUUUCCCCAAGGGCAAAAGAAAAAAAAUCAAUGUGUUGCAGGGUUUUUUUUUUAUCUUUCUUCAGUCUAAUUAGUGACUUAAUGGCAAGAAAAUUAGUAUACAUAUUUUCUUUUCAGGCCUUUACCCUGGAUGAAUUUUUUAGCUAGAGGAUACUUGCUCUGUACAUGAUUC